GGGCUCUUGGCACAGGGGUAGCGCGCAUGCUUUGCACUUCUAAGAUGCUUGCAUGAGGUCGAGGGUUCAAAUCCCUCAGUGUCCA